CUUGCUUGGGGUACUCGAGUGGCGAACGGGUGAGUAAUACGUGGGUAACCUGCCCUCUUCUUUGGGAUAAGCCCCGGAAACGGGGUCUAAUACCGGAUAUUCUGCUUCUGCCGCAUGGUGGGGGUUGGAAAGGUUUUUCGGUGGGGGAUGGGCCCGCGGCCUAUCAGCUUGUUGGUGGGGUGAUGGCCUACCAAGGCUUCGACGGGUAGCCGGCCUGAGAGGGUGACCGGCCACAUUGGGACUGAGAUACGGCCCAGACUCCUACGGGAGGCAGCAGAU
rnacentral:rRNA from 1 species